rnacentral:rRNA from 1 species
UACGGAGGGGGCGAGCGUUAUUCGGAAUUAUUGGGCGUAAAGGGCGCGUAGGCGGCUUCAUAAGUCAAAGGUGAAAUCCCUCGGCUCAACUGAGGAACUGCCUUUGAAACUGUGGAGCUUGAGGCCGGGAGGGGGUAGCGGAAUUCCCAGUGUAGCGGUGAAAUGCGCAGAUAUCGGGAGGAACACCGGUGGCGAAGGCGGCUUGCUGGGCCUUACCUGACGCUGAGGAGCGAAAGCGUGGGGAGCGAACAGG